rnacentral:RNase_MRP_RNA from 15 species
AGGCGCAGUGCGGAGGGCCACCUCGGUGUCACUUACGGCAGGAGUCGAGGGGCUGCUGCUUUGAGCGCGGCCCCCGGCUGGGCGCUGCAUCCAUGUAUUGAGCACAUCGGGCGAAAGUCCCCGGGCGACGGGGCAGAGAGUGCCAGCCCGCAAGGGCAGGACCCCCGCGCGUCGUUUUUACGACCGCGGGGCAGCUCGCCAUAGCAACAGUUAUGUGGCCAGUGGGGAUACAACCCACCAACACAACGGGGCUUACUCCCGCACUGACGCU